rnacentral:rRNA from 1 species
GACGAACGCUGGCGGCGUGCCUAAUACAUGCAAGUAGAACGCACAGUUUAUACCGUAGCUUGCUACACCAUAGACUGUGAGUUGCGAACGGGUGAGUAACGCGUAGGUAACCUGCCUGGUAGCGGGGGAUAACUAUUGGAAACGAUAGCUAAUACCGCAUAAUAUUAAUUAUUGCAUGAUAAUUAAUUGAAAGGUGCAAUUGCACCACUACCAGAUGGACCUGCGUUGUAUUAGCUAGUAGGUGAGGUAACGGCUCACCUAGGCGACGAUACAUAGCCGACCUGAGAGGGUGAUCGGCCACACUGGGACUGAGACACGGCCCAGACUCCUACGGGAGGCAGCAGUAGGGAAUCUUCGGCAAUGGACGAAAGUCUGACCGAGCAACGCCGCGUGAGUGAAGAAGGUUUUCGGAUCGUAAAGCUCUGUUGUAAGAGAAGAACGGGUGUGAGAGCGGAAAGUUCACACNGNGACGG